rnacentral:snoRNA from 1 species
GAAUGAUGAAGUCUUUAGAUGACGAGUCUGAGUAAGUUUCUUCUUGACGACACAACCUAUUUAUACCAUUCAUGCCUUUUCUGAUA